rnacentral:lncRNA from 1 species
AUUUCUGUCCUGGCUCUGAAGUUAAUUGGCAGCAUUGUUGGGCAAAAGGAUUAACUGUCACUUGCAUCUUGUCCCGCCUAGAAUAGCAGGUCUCACAGGUGGCUAGACAGGAGCGUGAGAAAAGUUGUUGGGUUUUUUUUUCCCACCUCCCCUUUGUCUUGUUUUGUUUUUGAGACAGGUCUUACAAAGCUCAAGCUGGCCUCAAAUUCAUCAUGAAGUCAAGCAUGGCAUUAAAUGGCUCCUUCUGCCUCCAAGAACCCCCAGGUACCAGGAUGCCAGUACAUGAACCACAGAGCAUGGUAGAGCAAUGGCUUCAUGGAACCCACCAGGAGUGCUCCUGAUUCAGUGCUGCUAACCUCCCAGGAUUCAGUCCCAUUGCGGGCGGGCCUCGUGCUAAGCGAUCUCAACACUGACGUUACACACGAGGAAGGAGACAAAGAGUGUGGAUGUUCACGUCCAAGUCUCAAAAGCCAGAGGCUAUGGCUGUCUUCUAUAAUCCCGCAGCACAGCCCUGCUGUAUCACUGGGAAAUUAUGUGCUGGUGUCUCCCUUCAAAUAAAGUUUUAUUGAAACACAAACA